UACAGAGGGGGCAAGCGUUAUUCGGAAUUAUUGGGCGUAAAGGGCGCGUAGGCGGCUUUGCAAGUGACGGGUGAAAUCCCUCGGCUUAACCGAGGAACUGCCUGUCAGACUGCAUGGCUUGAGACCGGGAGAGGUGAGUGGAAUUCCCAGUGUAGCGGUGAAAUGCGUAGAUAUUGGGAGGAACACCAGUGGCGAAGGCGGCUCACUGGACCGGAACUGACGCUGAGGCGCGAAAGCGUGGGGAGCAAACGGG
rnacentral:rRNA from 1 species